ensembl:lncRNA
CUGAAAAGACAUGAAGGAAGCAGUCAGCCCAGUCGUGUUUGUGGAGAGGUAUUCCUUCAGAAAUGGAGAAGACAGAAAGCUGCGGAGGCACACAUUUGCAGCAGUCUACAACAUCGAGCUCAACAGAUCUUUUUAAGAGCCAACCCUCACAAACCUUGCUCUCAGCGAAUCUUGCCAUGAUCAGCCCUUUCCAGGUACAUUUGUUUCGAAUAUUUUUGAAUCAACAUUUACUCAUCAAAUGCUCUAGUCUGAAUCUUAUUUUAAAUGAAUUUAAUGAUAUGUUUAAUGAGCAAUAUUAAUUGCACACAGAGUAAGUAGAGAUUAUCUUGUUUUACAGAAGAGAAGAUCAAGGAAAUUAUUUGUUCAGGAUGAGGAAUGAAGACGGCCAUCUUGUGCCCAAACGAAGACAGAAAGCUGUCCACUGGUAUGUGUGUAUUGAAGCAAUGCUGUGUUAUGUGUUACAGCACUUUAUGAUGAUCUCUCACAGGACUGUUCAUGUCAGCCUUGAUUAUUCUUUCUAAUAGGUUUUGAUACAACUAUUACAAUUAUAGCAUGUUAGCAAAGUGUGACUGGAACAUUUUUAAUCUUAAGUUUUUAAAAAACACCACCUGUUUUUCUUAAAUAAAAGCAUACAAUGUUUAUAAAAGUGGUUUACAUUAUUUCAUUGUUUUGUAAAUGUUGUGUUAUAAAUUGUGGAUUGAUAGUUGAUUGGUUUGAAGCAAGGCCUUACACUGCACAGACUAAAACACAUUUGUGAGAAGUCAUGAACUUCGGAGAAAGAUUCUAGAGGAAAAAGACACAUUUACUGCAACAAUAGAUGAAUUCUAGAGGCAAAAACUUCAGUCACAUGCUAAGGGGUGUCUCAAGAGCAAGUCCUUUGCCUCUGUAACGUUUUCUUAAUUCUUGCAUAAUGAAAUUGUUUAUUGCAGUAUUUUAACAAUUUUACUUUGUACAGAUGAUCUCAUCAGCCAAAUGAGGGGUUUUGACCAAGUGAUGGUCUUGAAAGGAAUGAAAGAAGAGGAUGUGGUAAAUUGUCUUCAAAGAAAAAGCUUCUCAAAAGGUCUUAAAACAGCUUGAAGAAUGGUAUGUGUCCAGUACUUCAAGGGUCAUAGUUGCUCACACUGCUAAAAUCACACAGAACAUUAAACUGUCUGACUGUCCAUUAAACAACUUCAUCUGAAUUGUUUGUGUUUUUUGUUUUACUUUGACCAGGUCUGGGAACUGUCUGAAAAUGGGAUGUUAGGACUGAGAGAUCCUCUGGCUGAGAAAAAGCUACACCAGAUCAGUGCUGGAUAUCAACCACACACUGUUUACAGACACGAGAAGAUCACGAUGGGGAAAUGAAACCAGUUUAGAUGUGAUGAUAAGGAAUCAUUAUUUUCUGAAACAGUAUCACAUGUCUUAUAUGUAUCACAUGAUCUGUAUCACAGUUGCCUGGAUGGGAUUGUGUGACUUUUAAGGACAUUUCAUUACUCAUCUGUGUGAACUGAUUAAUUUAUGAUUUUAAUGAAUUUUUGAUGAUCCAUUAUUAUUUUCCUUGAAUCUUAUUUGUCUUGAUGCUACUUUAUCAACUUUAUAGUCUAUGCUUCAAUAAAAUUAAUAUGAUGAAUAUUGUGUAUUGAAAAUUUUUGGUAAAUACAUAAUUUUACUAGGUAGGCUCAUAUGUGUUUAUUUUAUACUUGGAAAAACUACGUUAUUAAUUACCGGAAUUAUUUUUACUUAAGACAUAAACAUUUUUGAUCAGAUUAAUGACAUCUGGAACAACAAUACACCAGAAAGUUAUUAUUGUAUAUAUUUAGUAACAAAUAUGCCAUUUUUUGGUGAAAUAAAGGGAGUUACAAGAUGAAUUAUUUUGCAUUAAAAGAUGGUGCCAUUUGCUUUAUUGUUACAAACACUUGAGGGAUAACUGAGAAUGUAGCAGGAAUAAUCAACGUGGACCUUGUACUGCAUUAAAACCAAGAGCAUUCACAUUACUGAUGUCCAGCACCUGAGGAGCAAGAUAAGGGGGUGAGGACGACAUUUUUUACACUGAUUUUUGCUAAUUAGUUUAUAUAUAUAUAUAUAUAUAUAUAUAUAUAUAUAUAU